rnacentral:rRNA from 2 species
AAAUUGAAGAGUUUGAUCAUGGCUCAGAUUGAACGCUGGCGGCAGGCCUAACACAUGCAAGUCGAGCGGAAACGACUUAACUGAACCUUCGGGGAACGUUAAGGGCGUCGAGCGGCGGACGGGUGAGUAAUGCCUAGGAAAUUGCCUUGAUGUGGGGGAUAACCAUUGGAAACGAUGGCUAAUACCGCAUAAUGCCUACGGGCCAAAGAGGGGGA